AGACCCGAAACCCGGUGAUCUAGCCAUGGGCAGGUUGAAGGUUGGGUAACACUAACUGGAGGACCGAACCGACUAAUGUUGAAAAAUUAGCGGAUGACCUGUGGCUGGGGGUGAAAGGCCAAUCAAACCGGGAGAUAGCUGGUUCUCCCCGAAAGCUAUUUAGGUAGCGCCUCGUGAAUUCAUCUCCGGGGGUAGAGCACUGUUUCGGCUAGGGGGCCAUCCCGGCUUACCAACCCGAUGCAAACUGCGAAUACCGGAGAAUGUUAUCACGGGAGACACACGGCGGGUGCUAACGUCCGUCGUGAAGAGGGAAACAACCCAGACCGCCAGCUAAGGUCCCAAAGUCAUGGUUAAGUGGGAAACGAUGUGGGAAGGCCCAGACAGCCAGGAUGUUGGCUUAGAAGCAGCCAUCAUUUAAAGAAAGCGUAAUAGCUCACUGGUCGAGUCGGCCUGCGCGGAAGAUGUAACGGGGCUAAACCAUGCACCGAAGCUGCGGCAGCGACGCUUAUGCGUUGUUGGGUAGGGGAGCGUUCUGUAAGCCUGUGAAGGUGGCCUGUGAGGGUUGCUGGAGGUAUCAGAAGUGCGAAUGCUGACAUAAGUAACGAUAAAGCGGGUGAAAAGCCCGCUCGCCGGAAGACCAAGGGUUCCUGUCCAACGUUAAUCGGGGCAGGGUGAGUCGACCCCUAAGGCGAGGCCGAAAGGCGUAGUCGAUGGGAAACGGGUUAAUAUUC
rnacentral:rRNA from 1 species